rnacentral:rRNA from 1 species
UACGUAGGGGGCGAGCGUUGUCCGGAGUUACUGGGCGUAAAGCGCACGCUGGCGGUCUGCUAAGUUUGGAGUGACAGUUGGUGGCUUAACUGCCAAAGUGCUUCGAAAACUGACAGACUUGAGGGCUUCAGAGGGACACGGAAUUCCGGGUGGAGUGGUGAAAUGCGUAGAGAUCCGGAGGAACACCAAAGGCGAAGGCAGUGUCCUGGGGAGUACCUGACGCUCAGGUGCGAAAGCCAGGGGAGCGAACGGG